rnacentral:rRNA from 1 species
AGUUUGAUCCUGGCUCAGAUUGAACGCUGGCGGCAUGCCUUACACAUGCAAGUCGAACGGCAGCGCGGGGGCAACCCUGGCGGCGAGUGGCGAACGGGUGAGUAAUACAUCGGAACGUGUCCUGUAGUGGGGGAUAGCCCGGCGAAAGCCGGAUUAAUACCGCAUACGCUCUACGGAGGAAAGGGGGGGAUCUUAGGACCUCUCGCUACAGGGGCGGCCGAUGGCAGAUUAGCUAGUUGGUGGGGUAAAGGCCUACCAAGGCGACGAUCUGUAGCUGGUCUGAGAGGACGACCAGCCACACUGGGACUGAGACACGGCCCAGACUCCUACGGGAGGCAGCAGUGGGGAAUUUUGGACAAUGGGCGCAAGCCUGAUCCAGCAAUGCCGCGUGUGUGAAGAAGGCCUUCGGGUUGUAAAGCACUUUUGUCCGGAAAGAAAACGCCGUGGUUAAUACCCGUGGCGGAUGACGGUACCGGAAGAAUAAGCACCGGCUAACUACGUGCCAGCAGCCGCGGUAAUACGUAGGGUGCAAGCGUUAAUCGGAAUUACUGGGCGUAAAGCGUGCGCAGGCGGUCCGCUAAGACAGAUGUGAAAUCCCCGGGCUUAACCUGGGAACUGCAUUUGUGACUGGCGGGCUAGAGUAUGGCAGAGGGGGGUAGAAUUCCACGUGUAGCAGUGAAAUGCGUAGAGAUGUGGAGGAAUACCGAUGGCGAAGGCAGCCCCCUGGGCCAAUACUGACGCUCAUGCACGAAAGCGUGGGGAGCAAACAGGAUUAGAUACCCUGGUAGUCCACGCCCUAAACGAUGUCAACUAGUUGUUGGGGAUUCAUUUCCUUAGUAACGUAGCUAACGCGUGAAGUUGACCGCCUGGGGAGUACGGUCGCAAGAUUAAAACUCAAAGGAAUUGACGG